rnacentral:rRNA from 1 species
CGCGUAGGCGGCUGAUUUAGUCGAGGGUGAAAGCCCGUGGCUCAACCACAGAAUUGCCUUCGAUACUGGUUGGCUUGAGACCGGAAGAGGACAGCGGAACUGCGAGUGUAGAGGUGAAAUUCGUAGAUAUUCGCAAGAACACCAGUGGCGAAGGCGGUUGUCUGGUCCGGUUCUGACGCUGAGGCGCGAAAGCGUGGGGAGCAAACA